UGAUUUGUUAUUGCUUAUGGACUACCGCAAUUAACGUCUGGUUCGUGGUAUGAAUGGGCAAGUUAACCUGAAUAUAUGUGAAAAUUAAUCUGGCAGAACGAGAUGCUUAAAAAUUCGUUAAGCCAGUACCUACCUGCUUUACUAUUAUUUGCUCUUUUUAGUAUUUGAUCCAUUACAACAAAAAAAAAAUAACCUACAACAAUAGGUUAUUUUUUUGUAUAACCAUUAAUCAUAGACACAAAGGAGACUGCAAUAAUUUUUAUAUCCUCUGCAGUAACAGAACAGAUAACAAAUGAGUCAGUUCAACAAUGAUCUUAUUUGCAUUUCAAUACGUGUGAUAAGAUAAUUUUAUGAUAACCGUUACAUAUUAACCGUUAACGUCUGCACGCCAGCCCUAGAACUUUUGCACGAGAAGACAAACAAACAGAUGGACUACCAACCAGGGUCGCAGCCGAGUUCCAUCUCCCCGGAACAAAGUUCUCUCGAUGCCACAGUCCAACCCGAUGGACAGAAGGCAGAGCCCCAAUCAUCGGGGCCCAACUUUGUGAAAUUUGCGACAAAGGUGGCCAACCUUUCCAAGCUUGGCCCACCCAAACCCACACCCACAACGUCAGAGGCGCCGAAAGACAAAAUGGACUUUUAGAAAAUUUGAUUUCUUAGCAAUUUAAAUAAUAAACGCCAGUAGAAAGCGUUUUAAAUCUGAAGACGUAUAUUUUAUAACGUUAUUAUAGCUAUAUGUGAAAUGUAGUAAUAUUUAGUUUGUUCCGUAUUAUAAUCAUUGCAUUGUC